rnacentral:tRNA from 1 species
CGGGGCGUAGCGCAGAGGGAGCGCGCCUGCUUCGGGAGUAGGAGGUCGGAGGUUCAAAUCCUCUCGCCCCGACCA